CCUGCGCAGGUGCUCGUGUCGUGAGCAUGCAUGUCUUAAGUAUAAGCAAUUUAUACAGUGAAACUGCGAAUGGCUCAUUAAAUCAGUUAUCGUUUAUUUGAUAGUACCUUACUACUUGGAUAACCGUGGUAAUUCUAGAGCUAAUACAUGCUUAAAAUCCCGACUGUUUGGAAGGGAUGUAUUUAUUAGAUAAAAAAUCAAUGUCUUCGGACUCUUUGAUGAUUCAUAAUAACUUUUCGAAUCGCAUGGCCUUGUGCUGGCGAUGGUUCAUUCAAAUUUCUGCCCUAUCAACUUUCGAUGGUAGGAUAGUGGCCUACCAUGGUUUCAACGGGUAACGGGGAAUAAGGGUUCGAUUCCGGAGAGGGAGCCUGAGAAACGGCUACCACAUCCAAGGAAGGCAGCAGGCGCGCAAAUUACCCAAUCCCGACACGGGGAGGUAGUGACAAUAAAUAACGAUACAGGGCCCUUUCGGGUCUUGUAAUUGGAAUGAGUACAAUGUAAAUACCUUAACGAGGAACAAUUGGAGGGCAAGUCUGGUGCCAGCAGCCGCGGUAAUUCCAGCUCCAAAAGCGUAUAUUAAAGUUGUUGCAGUUAAAAAGCUCGUAGGUGAACCUGGGGAUUGAUCAACCGGUCCAUCUUUCUGAUGCGUACUGGACCCAACCGAGCCUUUCCUUCUGGCUAGCCUUUUGGCGAACCAGGACUUUUACUUUGAAAAAAUUAGAGUGUUCAAAGCAGGCCUUUGCUCGAAUAUAUUAGCAUGGAAUAAUAGAAUAGGACGUUAUGGUUCUAUUUUGUUGGUUUCUAGGACCAUCGUAAUGAUUAAUAGGGACGGUCGGGGGUAUCAGUAUUCAGUUGUCAGAGGUGAAAUUCUUGGAUUUACUGAAGACUAACUACUGCGAAAGCAUUUACCAAGGACGUUUUCAUUAAUCAAGAACGAAAGUUAGGGGAUCGAAGAUGAUCAGAUACCGUCGUAGUCUUAACCAUAAACUAUGCCGACUAGGGAUCGGUUGUUGUUCUUUUAUUGACGCAAUCGGCACCUUACGAGAAAUCAAAGUCUUUGGGUUCUGGGGGCGAGUAUGGUCGCAAGCUGAACUUUAAGGAUUGACGAAGGCACCACAGGGAGUGGAGCUGCGCUUAUUUGACUCAACACGGGGAAACUCACCAGGUUCCAGAACCAUAGAAUGGACAGGAUUGGAAGCUCUUCUGAUUUUGUGAUGUGGUCAUGGCGGUUCUAGUUGGUGGGAAGUUAAUUUGUC
rnacentral:rRNA from 1 species